ACUAUAAUUAAUUUAAGAAUAUUUUAGUCAUAUUAGGACUUUAAUAUUAUCCUAUUUCAAGGGUCUUUGUAACCCUAUUUUUGAGAGUUGAUAGAAUAUCUCUUAUGUGAGCUUUGAUCAAGAGUUCUAGGGGGAGUUUUUUUAGAGAGCUUUGUAUUCGGGUUUUAGGUGUUACUUAUUUAGGUUUGUUUUCUCCUUGUAUUUUUUGUUGGUUUGCCAAUUAGUGAAGUUUUUUUUUUGCCCAUUAUUUUAUCCUCUUCGAAGGAAUUUU
rnacentral:lncRNA from 1 species